UACGAAGGGGGCUAGCGUUGUUCGGAAUCACUGGGCGUAAAGCGCACGUAGGCGGAUCUUUAAGUCAGAGGUGAAAUCCCAAGGCUCAACCUUGGAACUGCCUUUGAUACUGGGGAUCUUGAGUCCGGGGAGAGGGUGAGUGGAACUGCGAGUGUAGAGGUGAAAUUCGUAGAUAUUCGCAAGAACACCAGUGGCGAAGGCGGCUCACUGGCCCGGUACUGACGCUGAGGUGCGAAAGCGUGGGGAGCAAACAGG
rnacentral:rRNA from 1 species